rnacentral:rRNA from 1 species
UACGUAUGGUGCAAGCGUUAUCCGGAUUUACUGGGUGUAAAGGGAGCGUAGGCGGCGCGUUAAGUCUGAUGUGAAAACCCGAGGCUCAACCACGGGAGUGCAUUGGAAACUGGCGGGCUGGAGUGCCGGAGAGGUAAGCGGAAUUCCUAGUGUAGCGGUGAAAUGCGUAGAUAUUAGGAGGAACACCAGUGGCGAAGGCGGCUUACUGGACGCCAACUGACGCUGAGGCUCGAAAGCGUGGGGAGCAAACAGG